rnacentral:tRNA from 1 species
GACCCGCUAGCUCAUCAGGUAGAGCACCUGCCUUUUAAGCAGGUGGUGGUGCGUUCGAGUCGCACGCGGGUCA